GCGGGCGUAGCUCAGUGGUAGAGCAUCUGCUUCCCAAGCAGAGGGUCGUGGGUUCAACUCCCAUCGCCCGCUCCA
rnacentral:tRNA from 1 species